AGACGUAGGGGGCAAGCGUUGUCCGGAAUUACUGGGCGUAAAGGGCGUGUAGGCGGCUUUGCAAGUCAGUGGUGAAAAACCUGGGCUCAACCGAGGUAUUGCCGUUGAAACUGCAUGGCUUGAGGGUAGAAGAGGAGUGUGGAAUUCCAGGUGUAGCGGUGAAAUGCGUAGAGAUCUGGAGGAACACCAGUGGCGAAGGCGGCACUCUGGUCUACCCCUGACGCUGAGGCGCGAAAGCUAGGGGAGCAAACAGGAUUAGAUACCCUGGUAGUCCUAGCCGUAAACGAUGGGCACUAGGUGUAGGAGGUUUAGAUACCUUCGGUGCCGUAGCUAACGCAUUAAGUGCCCCGCCUGGGGAGUACGGUCGCAAGGCUGAA
rnacentral:rRNA from 1 species